rnacentral:rRNA from 1 species
UGCGCAGAGAUGGCAAAGAACACUAAUGGUGUCGUCAGCUCCGUUGAGCAACUAUGACGCUGAGAGAAGACAGCUAGAGGAGCGAACAUGAUUAGAGACCUUAGUAGUCUUAGCCUUAAACUAUGUACGCUGGAUGUGGGGCCAUAGCGAUCCUUGUCGAAGCGAAUGCGUUCAGCAUCUCUCCUGGGGAAUACGGGCUCAAGUUUAAAAUUCAAUGGAAUUGACGCGACCGGGCACAAGCAGCGGAGCGUGUGGUUUAAUUCGAUGAUACUUGAAGAACCUUACCAGGGUUGGACAUCUAGGUGGUAGUGAAGGGAAAGCGGAGCGACCAUUCGGGGAGCCUAGACAGGUGUUGCAUGGUUGUCGUCAGUUAUUGCCGUGAGGCGUCGGUUUAAGUCCCGUAACGAGCGCAACCCUUGCCCUGAUUUAUACGUGUCAGAGGGGACUGCCGGCGGUAAGCCGGAGGAAGUAGGGGAUGAUGUCAAGUCAGCACCGCCUUUAUAUCCAGGGCUACUCACACGCUACAAUGGUCAGUACAAAGGGCAGCGAAGCCGUGAGGUGGAGCGAAUCCCAGCAAAAAUGGUAUUAUUUUCGAAUUCAGGGUGCAACCCUCCUGCAUGAAGCGGGAGAUGCUAGUAACCUCGCGUCUGCCAUAUGGCGGGGAAUACGUUCCCGGGGUCCGUACACACCCCCCGUCACGUCAUGGGAGUCGAUAACGCCCGAAGCCCGUGGCCUAGCUCGUAAGAGAGGGCGCUGUCUAAGGCGGGGUCGGUGACUUCGUUGAAGUCGUAACAAGGUAACCAAGGGCGAA